rnacentral:rRNA from 1 species
AUUGAACGCUGGCGGCAUGCCUUACACAUGCAAGUCGAACGGCAGCACGGGAGCAAUCCUGGUGGCGAGUGGCGAACGGGUGAGUAAAGUAUCGGAACGUGCCCAGUCGUGGGGGAUAACGUAGCGAAAGUUACGCUAAUACCGCAUACGAUCUAUGGAUGAAAGCGGGGGAUCGCAAGACCUCGCGCGAUUGGAGCGGCCGAUAUCAGAUUAGGUAGUUGGUGGGGUAAAGGCUCACCAAGCCGACGAUCUGUAGCUGGUCUGAGAGGACGACCAGCCACACUGGGACUGAGACACGGCCCAGACUCCUAUGGGAGGCAGCAGUGGGGAAUUUUGGACAAUGGGCGAAAGCCUGAUCCGGCCAUGCCGCGUGCAGGAUGAAGGCCUUCGGGUUGUAAACUGCUUUUGUACGGAACGAAAAGGUUUGGCCUAAUAAGCUGAGCUCAUGACGGUACCGUAAGAAUAAGCACCGGCUAACUACGUGCCAGCCGCCGCUGUAAGAC